rnacentral:rRNA from 1 species
GACGUAGGGUCCAAGCGUUGUCCGGAUUUACUGGGCGUAAAGAGCGCGUAGGCGGUCUGAUAAGUGUGAAGUGAAAUCUCCAGGGCUCAACCCGGAAACUGCUUUACAUACUGUCAGACUGGAGUGAUGCAGAGGUUUGCGGAAUUCCGGGUGUAGCGGUGAAAUGCGUAGAUAUCCGGAGGAACACGGGUGGCGAAGGCGGCUUCCUGGACCGACACUGACGCUGAGGCGCGAAAGCUAGGGGAGCAAACGGG